UACGUAGGCAGCGAGCGUUGUUCGGAGUUACUGGGCGUAAAGGGUGUGUAGGCGGUUGCUUAAGUUUGGUGUGAAAUCUCCCGGCUCAACUGGGAGGGUGCGCCGAAUACUGAGUGACUCGAGUGCGGGAGAGGAGAGUGGAAUUCCUGGUGUAGCGGUGAAAUGCGUAGAUAUCAGGAGGAACACCGGUGGUGUAGACGGCUCUCUGGACCGUAACUGACGCUGAGACACGAAGGUCAGGGGAGCAAACGGG
rnacentral:rRNA from 1 species